CAAACAAACAAAUACAGCCCAGGAAGGACCUCUCCCAUCAGAUCCCAGACUGCUCGGCAGCCGCUGCCUCUCUUAUUGGUCCUGUUUACAUACUGGAAAGCUGCUAUAAGGUCUCCCUGGAGCCUUCUCUUGUCCAGGCUGAACAACCCCAACUCUCUCAGCCUGUCCUAAUAGGAGAGGUGCUCCAUUCCUCUAAUCGUCUUGGUGGCCUUUAGUCCAAAGCAUCCAUGUCUUUCUUAUGUUUGGGACCCCAGAGAGCUGGAGGCAGUGUUCCAGGUGGGGUCUCAUGAGAGUGGAGUAGAGGGGCAGAAUCGCCUCAACCUGCUGGCCACACUUCUUUUGAUGCAGCCCAGGACACAUUUGGCUUUCUGGGCUGCAAGCACACAUUGCUGGCUCAUGUUAAGCUUCUCAUCCAACACCUCCAAGUCCUUCUCCCCAGAACUGUUCUCAACUCAUUCUCUGCUCAGCGUGUAUUUGUGCUUGGGAUUACCCUGACCCCCAUGCAGGACCUUGCACUUGGUCUUGUUGAACUUCAUAAGGUUUGCACAGACCCACCUCUCAAGCCUGUCCAGGUCCCUGGACAUUCCUUCCCUCCAGCGUGUUAACUGCACCACACAACUUGGUGUUGCCAUCGAACUUGCUGAGGGUAUGCUGAAUACUGCUGAACACUGCUGUCCACGUCAUUGACAAAGAUAUAUAGGGAGUCUCACUCCCUAUAUAUAGGUAUACCCCUAUUAAGCAGGGUACCUCAAAAGAUUAAUUGAUGUAAACAUCCAAGAGAAGAUGAAGAUAUUUCUAAUUCUCUGGAAUAGGGAAAUAACCAAAAGCAAAGGAUAUUUGUUGUGAUUUCUAGGUUAAUUGAAACAAUACAAUAGGACAUGGCGAAUGCUGACAGUUUAACUGUGCUUAAAUGUUUUAAGGAAGGAAUUCAGUGAAGAGUAUAAGAACACAGACAACAUCUUUGACUCGAGCUCUGGUUUUACCCAUGUAGUGCCAGAUGCUGAGAAAGUUUUCAAGUAAAUAAUUGCUGUAUGCUAUACUAUGCUUAGAUUUCACCUUGCAUGGCAAACAGCUUUUUGACAAGGAGGGGUGUUAUGUGAGAGAUGUCUUUGAUUUUGUCCAGUCUAUCAGCUCUUACAUUGUUUUGGAACCUCUUCUACAACUUAUACUGGAAUAAAUGAUGAUAUUUCAUUGUAA